rnacentral:lncRNA from 1 species
UGUGGAUAUUAUGGGUACCCCAUACCCAUACGGCAUGGUUAUCCGACCAGUCAUAGGGGAUAACUUAUAUCUAUAGAAUAUGUAAUAGAUCAUGACUCGGGUAUUACGUUUCCUUAUAUAUUACGGAACAGCCUAAAGUCCUGGUUUGAUAAUAUUGUAAAGUAGAUUUAGGAAACCGAUACCGUAUUGGUUAAGGUUUCUAUCUUGUAAUCCUGCCCCCCACCCUAUAUAAGGUGGGCAGGAGGCCCUCUAGGGGGCAUGAGACAACCUGAUCGUCAGAUCUAUAAUACACCCGGCGGAUUCAAAUCCCCAAACAGGAGUAGGGUAUUACCUCUCAUUGAGAGGGCCCGAACCUGUCUAAAUCCUUUGUCUCCACAUCCAUCCACUUUUAGGUCUCGUGCGCUACCCCGUUUUAUUAUUGCCGAAAUCAUGUUUCGACAGUUGGCGCGCCAGGUAGGGGUUGCGUCGAGUUUCCUAUCAACGAGCGCGAUGGAAUCAAUUUCAUGAGUCGCCGACUUCGCUUUCGCUUUGGGAGUUUUCACUUCCUUUCCGUCGACCACUUCUUCAAGCUCCUCUUCUCUGACUUGAUCCAAAUCAGUCAGGGGGAAACUCAAUCUGAUUUUUAUCAUUAUUUAUCAUAUUGAUUUUUAAUCUCAGAUUAAUUUCUUGCUAUUUUUUGUUGUUGUUCGCAUAUAACUACGCGGCACUAUUGAGGCGAUUGAUGCUGGUCAUGGACUCGAGGCGUCUCAGCUUUCCGGUCGAUCGGCCGCGAGUCCACUCCGCCGGCUUGUCCUCGCCACCGCCAUUGCUGAUAGCAACAACGACUUCACCGCCGGCCUGCCUCCGUCGCCGCCGACUGGUGUCAUCGCCUAUACGGUUGGUCGGUCACACCACCGUUCAUGGGCGUCCAUGUCUUCACCGACCGGCUGGCCUUCGCCGCCGCCGACUGGUGUUUCCGCCUACACGGCUGGCCUAUUAUGCCGCCGCUGUUGGGCGUCUACGACUUCACCGCCGGCCUGCCUCCGUCGCCGCCGAUUGGUGCCUCCGCCUACACGGCUGGCCUAUUAUGCCGCCGCUGUUGGGCGUCUACGACUUCACCGCCGGCCUGCCUCCGUCGCCGCCGAGUGGUGCCUCCGCCUACACGGCUGGCCUAUUAUGCCGCCGCUGUUGGGCGUCUACGACUUCACCGCCGGCCUGCCUCCGUCGCCGCCGAUUGGUGCCUCCGCCUACACGGCUGGCCUAUUAUGCCGCCGCUGUUGGGCGUCUACGACUUCACCGCCGGCCUGCCUCCGUCGCCGCCGAGUGGUGCCUCCGCCUACACGGCUGGCCUAUUAUGCCGCCGCUGUUGGGCGUCUACGACUUCACCGCCGGCCUGCCUCCGUCGCCGCCGAUUGGUGCCUCCGCCUACACGGCUGGCCUAUUAUGCCGCCGCUGUUGGGCGUCUACGACUUCACCACCGGCCUGCCUCCGUCGCCGCCGACUGGUGUCCCCGCCUAUACGGUCGGUUGGUCACACCACCGUUGAUGGGCAUCGUCAUCUACACCGCCGGCCUGCCUCCGUCGCCGCCGACUGGUGUCCCCGCCUAUACGGUCGGUUGGUCACACCACCGUUGAUGGGCAUCGUCAUCUACACCGCCGGCCUGCCUCCGUCGCCGCCGAGUGGUGCCUCCGCCUACACGGCUGGCCUAUUAUGCCGCCGCUGUUGGGCGUCUACGACUUCACCGCCGGCCUGCCUCCGUCGCCGCCGAGUGGUGCCUCCGCCUACACGGCUGGCCUAUUAUGCCGCUGCUGUUGGGCGUCUACGACUUCACCGCCGGCCCGCCUCCGUCGCCGCCGAGUGGUGCCUCCGCCUACACGGCUGGCCUAUUAUGUCGCCGCUGUUGGGCGUCUACGACUUCACCGCCGGCCCGCCUCCGUCGCCGCCGAUUGGUGCCUCCGCCUACACGGCUGGCCUAUUAUGCCGCCGCUGUUGGGCGUCUACGACUUCACCGCCGGCCUGCCUCCGUCGCCGCCGAUUGGUGCCUCCGCCUACACGGCUGGCCUAUUAUGCCGCCGCUGUUGGGCGUCUACGACUUCACCACCGGCCUGCCUCCGUCGCCGCCGACUGGUGUCCCCGCCUAUACGGUCGGUUGGUCACACCACCGUUGAUGGGCAUCGUCAUCUACACCGCCGGCCUGCCUCCGUCGCCGCCGACUGGUGUCCCCGCCUAUACGGUCGGUUGGUCACACCACCGUUGAUGGGCAUCGUCAUCUACACCGCCGGCCUGCCUCCGUCGCCGCCGAGUGGUGCCUCCGCCUACACGGCUGACCUAUUAUGCCGCCGCUGUUGGGCGUCUACGACUUCACCGCCGGCCUGCCUCCGUCGCCGCCGAGUGGUGCCUCCGCCUACACGGCUGGCCUAUUAUGCCGCUGCUGUUGGGCGUCUACGACUUCACCGCCGGCCCGCCUCCGUCGCCGCCGAGUGGUGCCUCCGCCUACACGGCUGGCCUAUUAUGCCGCCGCUGUUGGGCGUCUACGACUUCACCGCCGGCCCGCCUCCGUCGCCGCCGAUUGGUGCCUCCGCCUACACGGCUGGCCUAUUAUGCCGCCGCUGUUGGGCGUCUACGACUUCACCGCCGGCCUGCCUCCGUCGCCGCCGAGUGGUGCCUCCGCCUACACGGCUGGCCUAUUAUGCCGCCGCUGUUGGGCGUCUACGACUUCACCGCCGGCCUGCCUCCGUCGCCGCCGAGUGGUGUCCCCGCCUAUACGGUCGGUUGGUCACACCACCGUUGAUGGGCAUCGUCAUCUUCACCGCCGGCCUGCCUCCGUCGCCGCCGAUUGGUGCCUCCGCCUACACGGCUGGCCUAUUAUGCCGCCGUUGUUGGAUGUCUACAUCCUCACCGUUGGCUCACCUUCGUUGCCGUCGACUGGUGUUUCCGCUUACACGGCUGACCUAUUAUACCGCCAUUAGUGGGCAUCUUCGCUUUCACCGUCGACCGCCUUCGUCGCCGCCGACUGGUGUCUUCAUUAUUAUUGAUGGACGACUUUGUUCCCACAUUGGCCACUUCUGCCAUCACCAAGGGGAAUAUUACAAAGCUAAGUCAUCAUUUAUUUUAUUCUUUAUAUGAUAUUUUUCCUUUUCCUCUGCCUCACUACACCAAUUGGUCUUCCAUUGAGUAGUGAGUCGGGGGCUACAGAUGUUAUAUCAUAUUUUUUAUAAUAUUUAUCUUGAUUGCUUGCGACAUAAUCUGAGUACAAAAGUACCUAUCGAGUUAUGGAGUUCUAUCUUCCUAUGCUUUCCGUUUGGUUUGCCAAUGGAUGGUUGCCUUUGGGCCGAUUCCUAACACCCGGGGGCUCGUUGGAUGGACCGAGUAACGCAAGGUGCUAAGUAUUACUCGGAAGAAAUCAAAAGCAUAGAGAUAAUAUAAUUUAUUUUCUGCUCUUAAUAAUUGCAAAAGUACCUGAGUAGUAAAUUCUGAUCCGUGAAACUUUGUUCCAUUAAUGACGAACUCAUGUCACUCAUAUGCAUGUUUGGGAAAUGCCUAGGCCGACUCCCGAUGCUUGGGGGCUAUGACUAGUCGGACAGAGUGUUUAAACGUACAGAGUCAUCUGCUCGGGGAAAUCAAAAUUGACAAGAGGAGAAAUACAUAUUUAUAAAUAUUUUAAAAUACUUGAUUUUUUCUCGAGUAUUAUAUUUAUAUCAGAUACUACUCAUCCUAUAUGUUUGUUCUGCAGGAUCCAGAUCCAGAUAUGCAUAAAAGGGAUUCAUGGCUUUAAGCUUAUCUCUUACGCUCCAGGAAUGGAUCAGUCAGAACACCACCACCGGCUCGCCUCGACCGCCGCCGACUGGUGUUUCCGCCUGCACGGCUGGCUUAUUAUGCCGCCGUUGUUGGGCGUCUACGUCUUCACCGACCGGCUUGCCUUCGCCGCCGCCGACUGGUGUUUCCGCCUGCACGGCUGGCCUUUAUGCCGCCGUUGUUGGGCGUCUACGUCUUCACCGACCGGCUUGCCUUCGCCGCCGCCGACUGGUGUUUCCGCCUGCACGGCUGGCCUUUAUGCCGCCGUUGUUGGGUGUCUACGUCUUCACCGACCGGCUUGCCUUUGCCGCCGCCGACUGGUGUUUCUGCCUGCACGGCUGGCCUUUAUGCCGCCGUUGUUGGGCGUCUACGUCUUCACCGACCGGCCGCCUCGUCCGCCGCCGACUGGUGUUUCCGCCUGCACGGCUGGCCUAUUAUGCUGCCGUUGUUGGGCGUCUACGUCUUCACCGACCGGCUUGCCUUCGCCGCCGCCGACUGGUGCUUCCGCCUGCACGGCUGGCCUUUAUGCCGCCGUUGUUGGGUGUCUACGUCUUCACCGACCGGCUUGCCUUUGCCGCCGCCGACUGGUGUUUCUGCCUGCACGGCUGGCCUUUAUGCCGCCGUUGUUGGGCGUCUACGUCUUCACCGACCGGCCGCCUCGUCCGCCGCCGACUGGUGUUUCCGCCUGCACGGCUGGCCUAUUAUGCUGCCGUUGUUGGGCGUCUACGUCUUCACCGACCGGCUUGCCUUCGCCGCCGCCGACUGGUGUUUCCGCCUGCACGGCUGGCCUUUAUGCCGCCGUUGUUGGGCGUUUACGUCUUCACCGACCGGCUUGCCUUCGCCGCCGCCGACUGGUGUUUCCGCCUGCACGGCUGACUUAUUAUGCCGCCGUUGUUGGGCGUCUACGUCUUCACCGACCGGCUGCCUCGACCGCCGCCGACUGGUGUUUCCGCCUGCACGGCUGACUUAUUAUGCCGCCGUUGUUGGGCGUCUACGUCUUCACCGACCGGCUGCCUCGACCGCCGCCGACUGGUGUUUCCGCCUGCACGGCUGACUUAUUAUGCUGCCGUUGUUGGGCGUCUACGUCUUCACCGACCGGUCGCCGCAUCCGCCGCUGACUGGUGUCACCGCCUGCACGGCUGGCCUGUUAUAACGCCAACUGAUGCUAUCUUCUUCACGGCUGGCUACAUCGCUGUCACUACUAAUAGGCAUCAGUAUCUUCAACACAAGCUGCCUACGUUUGCCAUGGCUGCCGACUGGUUUCUUCACUUCCAUGGCUGCAUGAUUCUGCCAGUGUUGAUUGGCCUUAUCUUCUUCACCGCCGGUCGUCUCGUCUGCUGCUGACUAGUGCCCUCACCUCUACGUCUGGUUUAUACAGCUACCACUACUGAUGGACAUCAUCGUCUUCCGUUGCCGACUGGUUAUGCCGCCGCCGACUAGUGCUUUUAUCUUCACAACUGCGCGUCUUCGCUACCAGUUUGCUUCUGUUGCCGCCGACUCAUGUUCACUUCAUCACGGCGAUGCAACUUUGUCAUCAUAGUGGAGCGACUUCAUCUUUAUUAUCUUCGGCACUGGCAAACUCUAUUGCUGCUACUUCGCAAGUUUUACUACUUCACCAACCACGACGUCUUUGUGAACCUCGACAUCUCGGCAUGCAAUGCCAUGAUAUUUUACUACAACAAGUGACUCUCCAAUAUUCAGGAUUUCUACUUGGACACCUUCAACACAUAUCUUCAAUCAAGCAAUGACUACUCGACGACAAGAAGCUAUAAUUCUCGACUCUAUGUUCAGUUGUUUCCCAACUAACCAAAGAGUCGGGGGCUACACAAAUAUAAGGCUCAAAAUUUGACAAAUUUUAUGUCAAGCUGAAGAAAUCAAUUAAUCAGCCAAUGAGUCAACUCCAGGAGUCAUUAUCUUCAUCUUUGCUUCGGAACAGACAUUCUACUUCAACAACUUCAAAUAUUUCGGUUUAGACGAGUUGGGCAACAACAUCAACUCUCCUCCAAUUAUUUGUCUUCACGGUUGGCCUACUACGCAACUGCCGAUAGAGGAUCUCAUCGUUAUCAUCGGCUGCUACAUCGCUAUUGACUGGAUCACCGACAUCGUCAUCUUCAUCAACAUCUUGUCAAGCCUCAUCAACAUAGCCUACUCUGCUGCCGUUGAUGGGAAACUUCGUCAUCAUAGUCGGCUAUCUCUGUUGCCGCUAAUCAUCAUUACCGUCGGAUGCGUUUGUCGCCGCCGAUUAUUUUCUUCAUCUUCAUGAUUGGUGGAUUUCGCCAUCACCGUUGAUGCGCGUCUACGUCUUCAUCGUCGGUUUGCUUUUGUCACCACCGACUGAUCUUUCGUUGUUGUUGGGCGCCUACAUCUUCACUGCUAGCUGACCUGACUGUUGCCGACUGGUUUCUUCGCUUCCAUGGUUAUGCAACUUCAUUACAUUUGAUUGGUGGCAUCUUUACUACCACUGACAUCUUCCGUUACUUCUGAUGAGCAAUUUCGUCUUCAUGUUGGUCAUUUCAUCUCCAUGCCGACUGCGUCAGCUAUUGCCAAUAGACAAUUUUGACUAUGACAGAAGGACAAGCUAUAUGCUCAGGGGCUCAUCAGCUCAAGCGUGAGGAUUAUAUCUCCAAUUUGGACUUGUUCCGGAUACAUUCCACAUGGAUUCAUAGUCAUGAGUCUAUUUUCUAUGCUCAAAGACUGGACCAAUUAUUAUUCCCCGUAAGGGCUAUCAACCGAAUACUUGCGCCAGUCGGGAUUCAAUUAUUAUAUUUAUUUUGGAGUAUCCCAUAAGGGAUAAUCAUUCAGAUCAGAAGCUAUUCAUAUGAGCUACACUUGGUCUAUAUUACCCAGAAGAUUUAUUACUCGGGAGCAUGUUACAUGCGUCAUCCUUUAAAGGGUGUCGAAGGCAUAUUUUUUGGCCUAGGCCUAAUAUGUCUGCAGCCCAUAUUUUCAGGUGUGGCCUGUCACGUUCUUUUAGGGACUUAGGCACUUUUUGCUUAGGCCAAAGUGCGCGUGAUCAAGUGCCCAAUACCUUAAAAUCCUUUUAUACCGCAGUUACUUAACUUUUUAGGAGUUGGUACAAUGCAUCUUAAAAGGUGUCAAACAGUAAAGCUUUAUAUAGCUGUCCCGCUGACUUUUUUAUAUAUAAGUCAAGGUGCUGUUUGGGUUUUUAAGCAAUUGAUUAGAUACAAUAUCAUUGCUUUUCGCCACGUAAGUGUGCAUUUUUAUUGACCAAUGUUAUGGCUUAGGCUGAUUAUAUAUUGUGGUCAUUUUCUAGGCGGUUGGUAAAUCCUUUAUGAGUUUAUUUACUCAGAUUUUACACCACAUAUGCCAUAUAUUUCCAGGUGUGGUGAAACCAUGUGUCUUCUAGGGACUUAAGCACAUCUGUUAAAGCAGUGUGCGCAUGGCGUAUGCCCAAUACUUUGGAAAUUUCUUUAUUCACAAUAUACAAGCUUCUUUAUAGCUAUUUUGCUAUAUCACUCAUCAUAUUUUACAAAGCAGUUGGUAUAUCACUCGGAUCAUGUUAUUUGGAGGAUUCACACCGCAUAUGCUAUAUAUUGAUAUCAAGUCACUUGGUUGAUUACGAUUAUCAAAACCACUCGGUUGGUUGGAUUAUUUAUUCCUUGACUAUAUGCUUGGUUUGUUCAAUUAACCACAUUGUCGGGGGCUACACCUAUUAGGUGCAUCUAGUCGGUGCACCUGACUUUAUUUUCCAGCCCUCCACAGUCUUCAGAUUUGGUAAAAGUACUCGGGAGACCAUGACAAAGAUGAUUGAAGCACUCGGCUUUGGAGUAAUCUGGUUCGAGAGAAGAUUAUCUUUUCGACUGCGAAGGUCUCAGGGGCUACUGUGGAUAUUAUGGGUACCCCAUACCCAUACGGCAUGGUUAUCCGACCAGUCAUAGGGGAUAACUUAUAUCUAUAGAAUAUGUAAUAGAUCAUGACUCGGGUAUUACGUUUCCUUAUAUAUUACGGAACAGCCUAAAGUCCUGGUUUGAUAAUAUUGUAAAGUAGAUUUAGGAAACCGAUACCGUAUUGGUUAAGGUUUCUAUCUUGUAAUCCUGCCCCCCACCCUAUAUAAGGUGGGCAGGAGGCCCUCUAGGGGGCAUGAGACAACCUGAUCGUCAGAUCUAUAAUACACCCGGCGGAUUCAAAUCCCCAAACAGGAGUAGGGUAUUACCU